rnacentral:rRNA from 1 species
AUUGAACGCUGGCGGCAUGCCUUACACAUGCAAGUCGAACGGCAGCACGGGAGCAACCCUGGUGGCGAGUGGCGAACGGGUGAGUAAGGUAUCGGAACGUGCCCAGUCGUGGGGGAUAACGUAGCGAAAGUUACGCUAAUACCGCAUACGAUCUAUGGAUGAAAGCGGGGGAUCGCAAGACCCCGCGCGAUUGGAGCGGCCGAUAUCAGAUUAGGUAGUUGGUGGGGUAAAGGCUCACCAAGCCGACGAUCUGUAGCUGGUCUGAGAGGACGACCAGCCACACUGGGACUGAGACACGGCCCAGACUCCUACGGGAGGCAGCAGUGGGGAAUUUUGGACAAUGGGCGCAAGCCUGAUCCAGCCAUGCCGCGUGCAGGAUGAAGGCCUUCGGGUUGUAAACUGCUUUUGUACGGAACGAAAAGGUUUGGCUUAAUACGUUGAACUCAUGACGGUACCGUAAGAAUAAGCACCGGCUAACUACGUGCCAGCCGCCGCGGUAA